rnacentral:rRNA from 1 species
CGGCAAGACCAAAGAGGGGGACCUUCGGGCCUCUUGCCAUCAGAUGUGCCCAGAUGGGAUUAGCUAGUAGGUGGGGUAACGGCUCACCUAGGCGACGAUCCCUAGCUGGUCUGAGAGGAUGACCAGCCACACUGGAACUGAGACACGGUCCAGACUCNUACGGGAGGCAGCAGUGGGGAAUAUUGCACAAUGGGCGCAAGCCUGAUGCAGCCAUGCCGCGUGUAUGAAGAAGGCCUUCGGGUUGUAAAGUACUUUCAGCGAGGAGGAAGGCAUUAAGGUUAAUAACCUUAGUGAUUGACGUUACUCGCAGAAGAAGCACCGGCUAACUCCGUGCCAGCAGCCGCGGUAAUACGGAGGGUGCAAGCGUUAAUCGGAAUUACUGGGCGUAAAGCGCACGCAGGCGGUCUGUCAAGUCGGAUGUGAAAUCCCCGGGCUCAACCUGGGAACUGCAUUCGAAACUGGCAGGCUAGAGUCUUGUAGAGGGGGGUAGAAUUCCAGGUGUAGCGGUGAAAUGCGUANAGAUCUGGAGG